AUUGAACGCUGGCGGCAGGCCUAACACAUGCAAGUCGGACGGUAGCACAGAGGAGCUUGCUCCUCGGGUGACGAGUGGCGGACGGGUGAGUAAUGUCUGGGGAUCUGCCCGAUAGAGGGGGAUAACCACUGGAAACGGUGGCUAAUACCGCAUAACGUCGCAAGACCAAAGAGGUGGACCUUCGGGCCUCUAGCUAUCGGAUGAACCCAGAUGGGGUUAGCUAGUAGGCGGGGUAAUGGCCCACCUAGGCGACGAUCCCUAGCUGGUCUGAGAGGAUGAACAGCCACACUGGAACUGAGACACGGUCCAGACUCCUACGGGAGGCAGCAGUGGGGAAUAUUGCACAAUGGGCGCAAGCCUGAUGCAGCCAUGCCGCGUGUAUGAAGAAGGCCUUCGGGUUGUAAAGUACUUUCAGCGGGGAGGAAGGCGGUGAGGUUAAUAACCUUGCCGAUUGACGUUACCCGCAGAAGAAGCACCGGCUAACUCCGUGCCAGCCGCCGCGGUAA
rnacentral:rRNA from 1 species